UGAAAUUAAUUCAGAUGAUGAAUGGAUAACUGAGAAAGAAGGUCCAGUUCUCCCCGUAACUACUAAAUGGCUUGAAGAUGAUGAAUUAUUUGAAAGUGAUCCUAUUGUGAGUGUGCCAUCUGCUACUUUUGAAAGUCUUUUCGACUCAGAUAAGCGAGUCGAAGAUGUUGAGGAUAUAGUUGAAGUUCCUCCUACGAAUUCAAAAAAAAGAGUUGCUGAAAAUUCAAGUGGAAGCAAAGACAAACAAGCAAGGUUGAGUCUUGUUGAUGUGGAAGAUAAUCAUCUUGAUGCUGAAAAUUAUGGAGUAAUUCCAACUUUUGAUAGUGGAAAAUUUCCAACCAUAGACACUAUUGAUGAUGAUAGUGAUAUAGAGUUGGAUGAUACUGAUUAUUUUUAAGUUAUGUUGUUUUAAUUAUAAGACUUUUUAAAUUGUUGGUAUGGGAUAUUUUGACAUGUAAUGAAUUAUUAUGAUUAAUUUUAGGUUAUGUUAUUUUUA